GGGGUCAGAUUAGGUCAGAAUGGCACCUUUGUCAGGCUGAUUCAGGCCCCCGAGCCUUAUGUUUGCCACCUCUGUCCUAAACAAAACAACAGGGGUGCUCAUAUGGAAAAGAAAUAGAAAAAACUUAUAAAAGACUUGCAUAAGAUGUGGCCUACUUCAUAUAGUAAAUCAUAUAAGGCUUAUAUGAUUUACUCAUGAAAGUGGCCACUUUCUCAUUACUUUCAUAUAUUGUUUUAGUAAGUAUCCAAAACAUACAAGUUUCAUUUAUAUAAUUUUUCAAGGGAUCUUAUAUCUUUUUUCACUCUUGUAUGCUUUUCAUACAAAUUUCACACAAGACAGAUACAAACUUUAUAAGAUUUAUAUAUAUCUUUUCCAUAUGGGUGGGGUCGAACUUACUUAAUACUACUACUGCACUAAGGUAUUUUUAAUAUACCUACAUCUUACUAACUGCACCCUAAUUGUAAGUAGUAUUAAGUCAGUGCACCAGAUUGUCUGGAGAUAAGCUGGAAAACAUUAACAUUGUCCAACAGAAAUGUCUUGAUUUAAAAAAAAAAAAAAAGAUCCCAGAUCUUAUGUUUAAACAAAAAUAGUAAAACCACAGAUCACUGUACAGAGUUAGGGACAGUAAUUAAAAACCAGUUCCAGUGAAGAAUCCAUACCAAAAUUUCCGGUUUGUCAAAGUUGUAUCAGUUCCUCUUCCUGAUAAGAGGAAUAUUUUUUCUUUCACUUUGCAGAGCAAUGGUGUCAAGCAUGGCAGUGGAGCUUCUGCACACCCACUUUCAAGUAUUUCUCAGGCUCAAAGAGAAUGAAGUCUUUCUUACACAUAAGCUGAGGAAAAAACAUGUAAAAUCAGAUUGUAGAUGCCCUUCAUCUCUUAGAGCACAUAAAAGACGUGUUCUCACUAAUGGAAAUGCUGUAUUCGGUUUAGGCUGCCCAAGAACAGGAGGGAUCUUAAACGUAAAAACGUUUUAAAACAGUCGUGUUGAUGUUGAAAAACACACAAACAUGGAUCAGGUCAGUAAAAGAAUCAAUAAUGAAUCUG
ensembl:lncRNA